UAGCAUAUCAAUAAGCGGAGGAAAAGAAACCAACCGGGAUUGCCUCAGUAACGGCGAGUGAAGCGGCAAGAGCUCAAAUUUGAAAGCUGGCUCCUUCGGGGUCCGCAUUGUAAUUUGCAGAGGAUGCUUCGGGUGCAGCCCCCGUCUAAGUGCCCUGGAACGGGCCGUCAUAGAGGGUGAGAAUCCCGUAUGGGGCGGGGUGUCUGCGUCCGUGUGAAGCUCCUUCGACGAGUCGAGUUGUUUGGGAAUGCAGCUCUAAAUGGGUGGUAAAUUUCAUCUAAAGCUAAAUACUGGCCGGAGACCGAUAGCGCACAAGUAGAGUGAUCGAAAGAUGAAAAGCACUUUGAAAAGAGAGUUAAACAGCACGUGAAAUUGUUGAAAGGGAAGCGCUUGCAACCAGACUCGCUCGCGGGGUUCAGCCGGGCUUCGGCCCGGUGUACUUCCCCGCGGGCGGGCCAGCGUCGGUUUGGGCGGCCGGUCAAAGGCCUCCGGAAUGUAGCGCCCUUCGGGGCGCCUUAUAGCCGGGGGUGCAAUGCGGCCAGCCUGGACCGAGGAACGCGCUUCGGCACGGACGCUGGCAUAAUGGUUGUAAACGACCCGUCUUGAAACACGGACCAAGGAGUCUAACAUCUACGCGAGUGUUCGGGUGUCAAACCCGUACGCGCAGUGAAAGCGAACGGAGGUGGGAGCCCCCUCGCGGGGCGCACCAUCGACCGAUCCUGAUGUCUUCGGAUGGAUUUGAGUACGAGCGUAGCUGUGGGGACCCGAAAGAUGGUGAACUAUGCCUGAAUAGGGCGAAGCCAGAGGAAACUCUGGUGGAGGCUCGCAGCGGUUCUGACGUGCAAAUCGAUCGUCAAAUUUGGGUAUAGGGGCGAAAGACUAAUCGAACCAUCUGGUAGCUGGUUCCUGCCGA
rnacentral:rRNA from 1 species